CCCAACCUUACAAAUCCACACUGAUCCAACGGUCAAAAAUCAAGAUGACCAUAAAACUUGCUCGACCUAUAAUUCUUCUGAUGCAUUAUAUAAACAAAUAAAUUUUCAUUUCGUAUUUCUCAACUUGUAGGCCUCACUUGCUCUCAGCUCCAAACAAAGCAACACAUCACAUUUUUGGGUGCUCUCCUCAGAAAUUAGUUAAAGGGCAAAAACCGAAACCAAAACAGAAUGGUGGUGUUCUGUUUUCUGGUGGAUCAGAAGAGGCAAGUGCGGCGGAGCAAGCCGGCGGCAGGGAUAUGCUCACGGUGCGGCGGAGGAGCGAGUGUUGCCGACAUGAAGACCGCUACAAGAUUUUGUUACGUCCCAUUUUAUUGGAAAUCUUGGAGAGCCAUCAUAUGUACGUUUUGUGGAGCCAUUCUUCGAUCUUAUCGAUAGUUUGCUAGUUGGCCUUGUUUACUAUGAAUGACUAAUUCAAUUUCUAUCUCUUUUUAUUAGUUUAAGAUGUGUAAAAUUGCACAUAAACGCCUUACGCAUUGCGUCCGACUCUCUCACAUCACAUGGAUAUCUUCUUUUUUCUUUUUCUUCUUCUUUUUUUUUUUGUUGUGAUUUGGUUUUUGGGACGUAGUUGCGUUCAUGGUGUCGAUUUUGACUACACAAAAAAAGAAAGUUCUUGGUGUCGAAUUAAAAUAGAAACAGUGUAAGGUGGAGACUAGCUGGAAGAAGAUGUUCAAAGUGGAUAGGUAAAAGUGAAAGCUGGAGAGUUAAGAUGGUUUUUAUGACAUGAAGAAGGCAAGUAUGGGUGUCUGCCUCUGGCUCAGUUUGUAGCUAUAUGCAAUAAAUACUAUGCAAGUCAAAAUGUUAAAAAAAAAAAACCCAUGCUUUUAUCAUCAACAAU
rnacentral:lncRNA from 1 species